rnacentral:rRNA from 1 species
GACGAACGCUGGCGGCGUGCCUAAUACAUGCAAGUAGAACGCACAGUUUAUACCGUAGCUUGCUACACCAUAGACUGUGAGUUGCGAACGGGUGAGUAACGCGUAGGUAACCUGCCUGGUAGCGGGGGAUAACUAUUGGAAACGAUAGCUAAUACCGCAUAAUAUUAAUUAUUGCAUGAUAAUUAAUUGAAAGGUGCAAUUGCACCACUACCAGAUGGACCUGCGUUGUAUUAGCUAGUAGGUGAGGUAACGGCUCACCUAGGCGACGAUACAUAGCCGACCUGAGAGGGUGAUCGGCCACACUGGGACUGAGACACGGCCCAGACUCCUACGGGAGGCAGCAGUAGGGAAUCUUCGGCAAUGGACGAAAGUCUGACCGAGCAACGCCGCGUGAGUGAAGAAGGUUUUCGGGUCGUAAAGCUCUGUUGUAAGAGAAGAACGGGUGUGAGAGUGGAAAGUUCACACUGUGACGGUAUCUUACCAGAAAGGGACGGCUAACUACGU